rnacentral:rRNA from 1 species
GAUGAACGCUGGCGGCGUGCCUAAUACAUGCAAGUCGAACGCACAGACGAGAAGCUUUCUCUCUUGACGUUAGCGGCGGGCGGGUGAGUCACACAUGGAUAACCUACCUAUACGACUGGGAUAACUUCGGGACACCAGAUAAUAUACCAUAUAAUAUAUUGAACCGCAUGAUUCACUAGUGAAAGGCGAUUUUCGUGAUACUAAUAGAUGAAUCCGGGCCGCAUCAGCUAGUUGGUAGGGUAACGGCUCACAAAGGCGACGAUGCGGGGCCGAGCUGAGAGGGUGAUCGGCCACACUGGAACGGGGACACGGUCCAGACUCCUACGGGAGGCAGCAGUGGGGAAUCUUGCGAAAUGGGCGAAAGCCUGACGGAGCAACGCCGCGUGGGUGAUGAAGGUCUUCGGAUCGUAAAACCCUUUUUUUGGGAAAGAACAGAGGUAUAAUUAACAAUUCACGUUUUGACGGUACCUAAUCAGAAAGCCACGGCUAACUACGUG